CCUGGUUGAUCUUGCCAGUAGUCAUAUGCUUGUCUCAAAGAUUAAGCCAUGCAUGUCUAAGUUCAAGCGAAAAUAAAGUGAAACCGCGAAUGGCUCAUUACAUCAGUUAUGGUUCCUUAGAUCGCACUUACUACUUGGAUAACUGUGGUAAUUCUAGAGCUAAUACAUGCGCUGGGCUCCAACCCUCGUGGAAGGAGCGCUUUUAUUAGAUCAAAGCCAAUCGGGCCUUCGGGUCCGUUUACUUGGUGACUCUGAAUAACUUUGCUGAUCGCAUGGUCUCGUACCGGCGACGUAUCUUUCAAGUGUCUGCCUUAUCAACUGUCGAUGGUAGGUUAUGCGCCUACCAUGGUGGUAACGGGUAACGGGGAAUCAGGGUUCGAUUCCGGAGAGGGAGCCUGAGAAACGGCUACCACAUCCAAGGAAGGCAGCAGGCGCGCAAAUUACCCACUCCCAGCUCGGGGAGGUAGUGACGAAAAAUAACGAUACGGAACUCUUACGAGGCUCCGUAAUCGGAAUGAGUACACUUUAAAUCCUUUAACGAGGAUCUAUUGGAGGGCAAGUCUGGUGCCAGCAGCCGCGGUAAUUCCAGCUCCAAUAGCGUAUAUUAUUAUUGUUGCGGUUAAAAAGCUCGUAGUUGGAUCUCGGUUUCGGGCGAGCGGUGUACCUUGCGGUAUUUACUGUUUGCCCGGACGAUUUUGUUGGUUCGUUUAUGGUUCUCUUAACCGAGUGCCAUAAGUGGCCAGCACGUUUACUUUGAAAAAAUUGGAGUGCUCAAAGCAGGCGCUACAGCCUGAACAUUAGUGCAUGGAAUAAUGGAAUAGGAUCUCGGUUCUAUUUCGUUGGCUUUCGGAGUCGAGGUAAUGAUUAAUAGGGACAGACGGGGGCAUUCGUACUGCGACGUUAGAGGUGAAAUUCUUGGAUCGUCGCAAGACGAACUACUGCGAAAGCAUUUGCCAAGAAUGUUUUCAUUAAUCAAGAACGAAAGUUAGAGGUUCGAAGGCGAUCAGAUACCGCCCUAGUUCUAACCAUAAACGAUGUCGACCGGCGAUCCGUUAUCGUUAACUGAAUGACUUAACGGGCAGCCUCCGGGAAACCAGAGUGUUUGGAUUCCGGGGGAAGUAUGGUUGCAAAGCUGAAACUUAAAAGAAUUGACGGAAGGGCACCACCAGGAGUGGAGCCUGCGGCUUAAUUUGACCCAACACGGGAAAUCUCACCAGGCCCGGACACCGGAAGGAUUGACAGAUUGAGAGCUCUUUCUUGAUUCGGUGGGUGGUGGUGCAUGGCCGUUCUUAGUUGGUGGAGCGAUUUGUCUGGUUAAUUCCGAUAACGAACGAGACUCUGGCCUACUAACUAGACGUUAGAUCCGAA
rnacentral:rRNA from 1 species